rfam:Gossypium raimondii Chr10_contig_1091, whole genome shotgun sequence.
AGUCCAUGUUGUAGGCACUUAGCAUUUUCUUGAAACACUCCCAUGCCUCUUACAUGGAUUCACCUUUAAAUUAUUUAAAAUUAGUAAUCUUCCAAUUAGGGU